GAUGAACGCUAGCUACAGGCUUAACACAUGCAAGUCGCGGGGCAGCAUGGGGGUUGCUUGCAAUCCCCGAUGGCGACCGGCGCACGGGUGAGUAACGCGUAUCCAACCUGCCCUUCACCACGGGAUAACCCGGCGAAAGUCGGACUAAUACCGUAUGUUGUCCAUUGACGGCAUCCGAUUUGGACGAAAGGUUUGGCGGUGAAGGAUGGGGAUGCGUCCGAUUAGCUGGACGGCGGGGUGACGGCCCGCCGUGGCGACGAUCGGUAGGGGUUCUGAGAGGAAGGUCCCCCACACUGGAACUGAGACACGGUCCAGACUCCUACGGGAGGCAGCAGUGAGGAAUAUUGGUCAAUGGGCGUAAGCCUGAACCAGCCAAGUAGCGUGCAGGAUGACGGCCCUAUGGGUUGUAAACUGCUUUUAUGCGGGGAUAAAGUGGCCCACGUGUGGGUUUUUGCAGGUACCGCAUGAAUAAGGACCGGCUAAUUCCGUG
rnacentral:rRNA from 1 species